UACGAAGGGGGGCUAGCGUUGCUCGGAAUCACUGGGGCGUAAAGGGUGCGUAGGCGGGUUCUUAAGUUAGAGGUGAAAGCCUGGAGCUCAACUCCAGAACUGCCUUUAAUACUGGGGUAUCUUGAGUAUGGAAGAGGUAAGUGGAAUUGCGAGUGUAGAGGUGAAAUUCGUAGAUAUUCGCAGGAACACCAGUGGCGAAGGCGGCUUACUGGUCCAUAACUGACGCUGAGGUGCGAAAGCGUGGGGAGCAAACAGG
rnacentral:rRNA from 1 species